rnacentral:lncRNA from 1 species
UUUUAAUGAAAAAAAACCAGUUUCAUAUGUGAAUUAAUGAUGACAAUUAUUAAUUAUUCUAGUGUCCUGAUUAGUUUAAGAGAAUAGACCAAAUAACUACAAAUGAGGAGUUCGAGCCUUUGGCAACAGUACACACGUGGGUUGAGGGCUGAGCCUAGAUAGCUCCACAAAUUCCACAACAAUUAAAGUAAAUUUUAGUCAUAUAUGUCUGUUUGUUCAUGAGCAAGUGAAAGAGACUUUCACUAACACUUUUUUCCAAAAACAGUAAUGAAUGAUUAGGCCAUAACUUUUGUUCUUCAAAAGGCUUAUUUAUUGGUAUACUUCGAUGCAGGACACAAUAAACUUUUUCAGGUCUUUUUGGACCACUUAGUUAUUACAAAUGACCCUUCUUCUGAGUGUUAGUGAGUCAGAGAAAAGAACCUAAAGAGAGGCUUUAAAUUUUGGCAUUAGAGAUGCAGAAAACAGAAUAUAGUGUUAGCCUCAUCUUGCAAGAUCUUUCAUAUCUUAGUUAAGUUGCAAACAAGCCUCAAGCAUUUAAUGUUUAUUUUAGAGUUACAAACUAGAUUUUGCUAGUUUUUGCAAAUAGCCUUAUGGCAAAUUACUUUUACUUCAUCUGAGCAACAAUAUAUUGCUGAUCUACAAUUUCAUGUCUUUCAUUUUCUUUUUUCUAAUGCUCUAUUUUCAAUUUUCAUUUUGACAGUCCAACUACUGAUGCUGUCAUGUACAAAAUAUAAUUUUGCUUUUAAUGUAUCUAGACUAAAAUAUGAUAACACUGUCUUUUAAACAUGUGAUCAGAACUUCAAUCUCAGAUCCUUAUAUAUGAAAAGAUCCUUUGUUAAGAACAUCAAUACUCUGAAAGCUUAGUUAUUGAUCUGGUUGACCAAUACCUUAUUAUGCUAACCAAAAGUCUAAACUAUGACUUUAGAACAUUUAAGAUCAUUAUCUGUUGUGUGCCAUUCAUGCAAUGGGGGCAGAGCUGCAAGUAUGAACAUGUUUCUCACUAGUUAUGUGUAUCAAAUAUAAAUGUAAAAUUAUGAUUAAAUUGUAGGGAAUGGCUAAAUAUCUGAAUCCAUUUUGGAAUACGGAUAAAGCAUACAACAGCAUAUUUCUGUAUCAGUGCAGUGAUGCUGGCAACUUGUUUCAGAUUUUGAUUGCCACCACCCCUUAUGGAACUAUUGUUUUUUCUAAUAUCUAGCAAUUAGGCUUCAGUAUAGUAUAUUCUUAUGAACCAGCCCAAACCAAUGCUUCAUGAUAUUUUGCAAUUCCAAAGUACUAAAAUUGUAGGGCUGUAUCAAACAUGUUCACAAAAUAGAUGUGAUGAAAAAGUUAAUUUGGUAGUGAGAGUGAAAAUUUUCCAUUUUAAAUAAUGUGUACAUUCAAGUUGAUGCCAUGUUGGAUCAGUCUCAUUGUUUAGGUGCAGAAACUCUAUGGCAUACCAAAUUUAUAUGGUAGAAAUCACUUCUGAAAUUUCAAGAGCCAAUAAUGCAUGUUUGAAUCUAAGCACUAUAGUUCAAAGAAAUAAGACACUUACACUACUUUGUAGUAUUACUUAUUCAAUAUAAGUCCCUGUAACUUCAACCACAAAACUUUGCUGGGCGAUGGUACAAUUGAAUAGCCUUUUUCAUAAAUAAUUGAAAGGGGAAUGGGAAAAGAAUCUUUAUAAAUUAAAAUCAGUUUAUAUAAAUAAAAUCAACAUUUUAG